rnacentral:rRNA from 1 species
AUUGAACGCUGGCGGCAGGCCUAACACAUGCAAGUCGAGCGGAUGAAGAGAGCUUGCUCUCUGAUUUAGCGGCGGACGAGUGAGUAAUGCCUAGGAAUCUGCCUGGUAGUGGGGGAUAACGUUCCGAAAGGAACGCUAAUACCGCGUACGUCCUACGGGAGAAAGCAGGGGACCUUCGGGCCUUGCGCUAUCAGAUGAGCCUAGGCCGGAUUAGCUAGUUGGUGAGGUAAUGGCUCACCAAGGCGACGAUCCGUAACUGGUCUGAGAGGAUGAUCAGUCACACUGGAACUGAGACACGGUCCAGACUCCUACGGGAGGCAGCAGUGGGGAAUAUUGGACGAUGGGCGAAAGCCUGAUCCAGCCAUGCCGCGUGUGUGAAGAAGGUCUUCGGAUUGUAAAGCACUUUAAGUUGGGAGGAAGGGCAGUAAGUUAAUACCUUGCAGUUUUGACGUUACCGACAGAAUAAGCACCGGCUAACUUCGUGCCAGCCGCCGCCGUAACAC